CUCCAGGUCGCGGAGGAAUCUGGUCUUGCAACCUGUCUCCCUGCGAAGUCGGAAAAUGCCGUAGCUCCAGCUCAGGGAAGAAGUUAGAAGAAUACUCCGCUGCUUUGGCAUCACCAAGGUGGAUACGUUUUGGGGUGAUUUGUUGCACUGCAAUGGAGAACCAACACAAAGGCCUAGGCACCUUGGACCUCACCCCACAUACCAGAGCGAGGCUUGAGAGUCAAUUACUCCAGCAUCAUUUGCAGGUCAGGAUAAGA